ACAUAAAAUUUAAAAGAUGGCUAUUGACUUAGUCCACAUCCCCUAUCCGGUCUAACAAACUCCCCCGACCUUUCUUAUCCUGUCAAACGAGAGAAUUAGUCAAACUUAAACCAUCGGUUCCUUAAUUUCAGCCAAGUGAAUUGGUCAAAACCAUCAAUAUCGGUUAGAUAGGGCAUUAUAUAGCUCAUCUAAAAUUGCAGAUUCAACUGGCAUCCCCGAUUUCUCCAUUCUUUCCCCCUGCUCCUGGUGCAUCGGCACAGCCACUCACCGGACUACUCCCCACCACCGUAAAAUUCACCUCACAUUAGCGCACCACUCGGACCUCACAUCCGAUCAAACCACCGCAUCACACCUCUUCAUGCCUCUCUGUCUUUCUCCUCGAAGACCAUCACACCACCACAAUUUUUUUGUUUAUUUGUUGACGAAGGCGAUAAAUAAACAAUGUACCUGAAUCUCUAAUCUCAACAGAAAUACACUGUCACCCCCAAACCCCAUCGGUGGAUCUGGACUCAAAACAUCCUUCACUUCGCACUCACUUUUCUCUUCUCAGUCACUCGAUCGGUGCUCUUGGACUUGAAAGUGUUUCCCUCACCGCCAUCAACCACCACAAACCGUCACCAGAUUUACGAAGAAGAAAACACACACACCAUCGCCGCAUCUAAAGGAAAACCUCGAAAAUCCCUAAAAACGAGUUUGUAUUUUGUGUUUUGUGGUUUCUGUUUAUUUAACCCUAAACUAUACUCUUGAUUCUUAAAUCUCGGUUUUAGGACGCCUUCCUCUCACCAUCAGGUUAUAGCUUCCUCACUCUCGGACUUCAAAAAAUCAGAUUAAAAAAUAUCUCGCCCCUGAAUAUAUAAAUUUGUAAUACAUGAUGACCUUUGACUCUUUUCCAUUGUCUCUCAACCUCUCAUUCCAUAUUUAUCUAAAAACCACCAUUACAGUUCCUAAAAUGGUUGUUGAUUUAACAUUUCAUUGAUUUUUGUGUUGGUGUGGUUGGUUGCAGGUUUAAUGGAGGUUUCAAGAAAUCCAAGCUUCAACAGGUAAGUUGUAUUUCCUAAUUUCCCUUGUGUUUAUGGUAUUUGACAAUUUGCAGUUGGAUGGCUUGUGGUGUUUACAUUUACAGUUAAAGUUUGUAUAGCUUUUUUGCUACGAGCUAGGUGGUAAAAAUUCUUCCUUUUUCUUCUUUUUGGAGAUAUAACCUUAUUUUUUGUUUUUGGUUCUUCCAAAAGUUGUGACUUUAGGUUAUUUGAAGAUUUGAUGACGUGUUUUGGUACUUUGGAGGGCAUAUAUGGACCUCAAUUUAGGUAAGAACAUGUUUUGUUUAAAGAUCGAGACAGAGGGAGGAAGCUGAGGUGAGUUAUUUUGACUAGAUUUUUUCUUUUAGCUACUUUUAGGAAUUUGUUUGACUUGCAAAAUUAAAUAUUUUUUUAUAUUUAAAAAUAGUUAUGACUAAAAUUUACAUAACUGUUAAUUUAAAUCUUGACUAUUAUAACCUUGGAUAAAAACUGAAAAAGAAUGGUUCGAUAGGGACCAAUAUUGGUAAUAUUCUCUUAUACUUUAAUUAAGUUUUAUAUUUGUAAAAUUGGACAAUUUUUUUUUUUAAAUUUAUAUCAAAGUUAAAGGAUAAGAGAAAUUAUAAUUUUGUUACCGUGUAUAUUUUGUUUCAACUUUUCAAAGCAAAAAUGUUCAUUAUUAAAAAAUUGAAAGCAAGGCUAUUGACAUAGACAACACUGAGACCAAAAUAAUCAUGAACCCAAAAAAGGACCAAAUUUCACAACAGAACUUUUUGGUACUAAAUAUUUAAAAAAUCAAUCAAUUAAAAUUAUAAAUUACUCUAAAAAAGAAUUACAAUUGUUGGGGAUGCUGUUGGAUUUCAUCACACUUUUGUGUUGGAGAUGCCUUUAUCUUUUUCACAUUUCCAAUUGAAUCAAAUAAUUUAAUGCCUUAGUUAUUUUGGGGUGGUGUUUGGCGUUUUUUUAAAUCUAUAUAAGCGUGUUUUUAAUAGUAACCCGAAGGUUUUUUCCAGGUUCAAAGGAUUGUUGUCUGUUCUCAUUGUCUUGGUGUUGCUGUUGUUAUUUUUGAUUGAUGUUGUGUAUAUUUCUAACAUUUUUCAUUGCUACAUUGGUGAUGGUUUUCUAUUUAUGCAAUUAAUAUAUUUCGUAUUUCAUCCAUCUUCCUGUUGAAAUUUAAUUUAGUUUUAUGUUUUGAUGUUAAUAAACUAAUUUUGUGUUGAUUUA